GAUGAACGCUGACGGCGUGCCUAAUACAUGCAAGUCGAGCGAACUGAUUAGAAGCUUGCUUCUAUGACGUUAGCGGCGGACGGGUGAGUAACACGUGGGCAACCUGCCUGUAAGACUGGGAUAACUUCGGGAAACCGAAGCUAAUACCGGAUAGGAUCUUCUCCUUCAUGGGAGAUGAUUGAAGGAUGGUUUCGGCUAUCACUUACAGAUGGGCCCGCGGUGCAUUAGCUAGUUGGUGAGGUAACGGCUCACCAAGGCAACGAUGCAUAGCCGACCUGAGAGGGUGAUCGGCCACACUGGGACUGAGACACGGCCCAGACUCCUACGGGAGGCAGCAGUAGGGAAUCUUCCGCAAUGGACGAAAGUCUGACGGAGCAACGCCGCGUGAGUGAUGAAGGCUUUCGGGUCGUAAAACUCUGUUGUUAGGGAAGAACAAGUACAAGAGUAACUGCUUGUACCUUGACGGUACCUAACCAGAAAGCCACGGCUAACUACGUGCCAGCCGCCGCCGUAACAC
rnacentral:rRNA from 1 species